GAAGACAAUGAAUAAAUAGAGACUGCAAAAAUGGAAGCCCUAACCCUCGCCGGCGACAGCGAAGGCGAAGGCCUCCUAUCGUCGGUACCCGCCGAGGUCAACGGAGGCGAUCCUCUUCUCCACCCUCCUCCGGCCCCUGAUUCCCCACCGCUCGCCUCCUCCACUCCCGUCGCCAUCCAACCGGACGCCGCCUUCUCCCUAUUCGACCCCAGCGAGGACGGUAGUUACGACGCUUUCGAUUUGGCCCCCUCUCCUCGCGUCCACGAAGCGCCCUCUCGAGCCGGCCUAUCCUUGGCCUCCGAGUGCUUCAAGAUCUCUGUCUCCGACCCCCAGAAGGAGCAGGAAGCUGGCUCCUCCAUCGUCCCUGGCUCCGGAUCCUUCGUCUCCUACCUCAUCACCACUCGGAUCGUCGGCGGCCAUUCCGAGCUUCACGUCCGCAGGAGGUUCAAGGAUGUCGUCGCCCUUGCUGACCGCCUCGCUGAGGCUUACCGGGGGUACUUCAUCCCUCAGCGGCCUGACAAGAGUGUGGUCGAGGGACAGGUAAUGCAGAAGCACGAAUUCGUUGAGCAGCGCCGCUCUGCCAUGGAGAAGUACCUCAAUCGACUGGCUGCCCAUCCAGUGAUCGGGAGGAGCAACGAGUUCAGGAUAUUUCUUAGGCUGCCUGGAAAUUCGCCUUUACCCGUGAGUACAGAGGUGGUGCCAAGAUCAGGAGGAAUGGGGACGCUGCCGAAUCAUGUCUUUGGUGAGGCAGGAGGGAGUGAGGGUAUGGUGACCCAAAAAAUUGGCCAACCGGCAAAGGGAGGAAGGGAUUUCAUGAAGAUAUUCAGAGAGUUCAAGCAGUCGGUAACAAAUGACUGGGGAGGCGCAAAGCCAUUGGUGGUAGAGGAGGACAAGGAGUUCCUGGAUAGGAAAGUGAAGAUGCAAGAUUUAGAACAGCAGCUUACAACUUCUUCCAGGCAGGCUGAGGUGCUUGUCAAUGCACAGCAGGAUAUUGGAGACACAUUGGGCCAACUGGGGUUGACAUUUGUGAAGCUUGCUAAAUUUGAAACAGAAAAUGCCACUUUUCUAUCACAGAGACGAAGAGCUGCUGAAAUCAAACAGUUUGCAACUGCACUUUUGAGAAUAAGUAGAUUCUAUCGAGAAUCAAAUGGACACACAGUCAAACAUCUGGAUAUUCUUCAUGAAUAUCUAGGAUUGAUGCUAGCUGUUCACGGUGCAUUCUCAGAUCGUUCUACUGCGCUUUUGACAGUCCAAACACUUACCACCGAUUUGUCUUCCUUGCAUGCAAGGAGAGAGAAAUUGGAAGCGUCUUCAAUACAAUCGGGGGACAAGUCUAAACUUCAAAGGAUAGAUGAGCUGAAAGAAACAAUAAGAAACACAGAAGAUGCUAAAGUCUGUGCGAUUAAAGACUAUGAGUGUAUAAAGGACGCAGAAGAACUUUAUUCAGCAGUGAGGAUGCUUGGGCAACAAAAGGUUCAGGAGUGGACUGGAGCACAGAGUGGAAGGCAGAUGAUUAGGAAAACAACAGGAGUGAACUCGAGAGGCUAGACAAGGAGAGACACGAGGAUUUUCUAUUGAUGCUCAAAGGAUUCGUCAGUAAUCAGAUCAUCUAUGCGGAUAAGAUGGCAAACGUGUGGGCGAAUAUCGCAGAAGAAACAAAGGGCUGUUACACAAGUCAGGAUAAGUAAAGUGGAAAUCACACAUGUAUAUUUGAGAAUUGCCCCUAUUCUGCACUCCUUUUUUCAGAGUCAGCAAGCCCCAAUAAGUAUUUUUCUCUCUGUAGAUUUAUUUACGCAAUUUUGUUUGUGUUUUUUACUCUCCAGAUUUUGUAGAAUUUUGAUUACUAUAAUUUUAAGUCUAAUAUUUUUGCUUCUUUUUCA